rnacentral:SRP_RNA from 1 species
CGCUAGGCUCGGGCGGAGGGUUGGGCGUCCUCUGCGAAUCCCGGAGAAUCGUCCUUACCGGGGCCGACGCCGAGAGCGGCGCCAUCAGUCCGGCGGCAGUCCGGGGAUCAACGGUGAGGCCUCGUCCCGCGGGGCUGGAGGCGGCACGGGACCCGGCCGGAGGGUCGGGGUCCGUACCCCAACCGCGGGGAACGGGUCAGGCACGGAAGUGAGCAGCCCAAACCGCGGACUACCAACGCUCGCGGGGGCGCGGGGCCGAGGCGACCCCUGGGACGCUGUCGUCGGAGCUGGGCGACAAUCCAGGCGGCCUAGCA